UAGGGAAUCUUCCACAAUGGACGCAAGUCUGAUGGAGCAACGCCGCGUGAGUGAAGAAGGUUUUCGGACCGUAAAGCUCUGUUGUUGGUGAAGAAGGAUAGAGGUAGUAACUGGCCUUUAUUUGACGGUAAUCAACCAGAAAGUCACGGCUAACUACGUGCCAGCAGCCGCGGUAAUCGUAGGUGGCAAGCGUUGUCCGGAUUUAUUGGGCGUAAAGCGAGCGCAGGCGGAAGAAUAAGUCUGAUGUGAAAGCCCUCGGCUUAACCGAGGAAUUGCAUCGGAAACUGUUUUUCUUGAGUGCAGAAGAGGAGAGUAGAACUCCAUGUGUAGCGGUGGAAUGCGUAGAUAUAUGGAAGAAUACCAGUGGCGAAGGCGGCUCUCUGGUCUGCAACUGACGCUGAGGCUCGAAAGCAUGGGUAGCGAACAGGAUUAGAUACCCUUGGUAGUCCAUGCCGUAAACGAUGAGUGCUAAGUGUUGGGAGGCUUCCGCCUCUCAGUGCUGCAGCUAACGCAUUAAGCACUCCGCCUGGGGGAGUACGACCGCAAGGUUGAAAC
rnacentral:rRNA from 1 species